rnacentral:rRNA from 1 species
GAUGAACGCUGGCGGCGUGCCUAAUACAUGCAAGUCGAGCGAAGGUUUUCUGGUCCUUCCUCUCGAAAGAUUUCGCCGCGCACGGGAGUGUAACACGUAAAGCCUCUCUCUCAUACUCUGGGAACAUCAUUGGAACCGAUCGCUUACCCCGGAUUACAGCAUUCCCCGCAUGGCUGAUGUUUAAAAGUUGCUUUCGCUCACACUUUGAUAUGGCCUUGCGGUGCAUUAGCUAGUUGGUGGGGUAAAGGCCUACCAAGGCGACGAUGCAUAGCCGACCUGAGAGGGUGAUCGGCCACACUGGGACUGAGACACGGCCCAGACUCCUACGGGAGGCAGCAGUAGGGAAUCUUCCGCAAUGGGCGAAAGCCUGACGGAGCAACGCCGCGUGAGUGAAGAAGGAUUUCGGAUCGUAAAGCUCUGUUAUUAGGGAAGAAUGAAUGUGUAGUAACUAGACACAAUAGAGACGGUACCUAACCAGAAAGCCACGGCUAACUACGUG